UUGGAGGGCAAGUCUGGUGCCAGCAGCCGCGGUAAUUCCAGCUCCAAUAGCGUAUAUUAAAGUUGUUGCAGUUAAAAAGCUCGUAGUUGAAUUUCGGGAUCAGAUUGUCGGUCGUGCCUCGGUACGCACUGGCAUUAUUGGUUCCUACCUUCUGAAGAACCGCGAUGUCAUUAAUUUGGUGUCGUGGGGAAUCAGGACUGUUACUUUGAAAAAAUUAGAGUGUUUAAAGCAGGCUUACGCUUGAAUACAUUAGCAUGGAAUAAUGGAAUAGGACGUUUGAUUCUAUUUUGUUGGUUUCUAGGAUUGACGUAAUGAUUAAUAGAGAUAGUUGGGGGCAUUAGUAUUCAAUUGUCAGAGGUGAAAUUCUUGGAUUUAUUGAAGACUAACUACUGCGAAAGCAUUUGCCAAGGAUGUUUUCAUUAAUCAAGAACGAAAGUUAGGGGGUCGAAGACGAUCAGAUACCGUCGUAGUCUUAACCAUAAACUAUGCCGACUAGGGAUCGGAUGAUGUUAAUUUUUUAAUGACUCAUUCGGCGCCUUACGGGAAACCAAAGUGUUUGGGUUC
rnacentral:rRNA from 1 species